rnacentral:rRNA from 1 species
CACCGCGGUUACACGAGGAGCCCAAAUUGACAACACUCGGCAUAAAGCGUGGUUAAUUAAUUUUUAUACUAAAGUCGAACCACCUCAAAACUGUCAUAAGUUCUUCGAGGCAGGGAAGCACAACAACGAAAGUGACUUUAAAUUAAAUGACUCCACGAAAGCUAGGGAA